GUGUCCUACUGCUCUUUUCCCUUUAGACUAAGGGUAGACCCAAUAUGAAAGAUGAAGUUCCUGCUUCCUGAGAUUUCCCAGGUCUUCUCCACAUCACCCCCAGAGUGAUCAUUCUAAGAUGUGGGUCAGAUCUUUUCAGUUGUUGGCUUAAAUUCCUUUAAUUUAUCCCAUCUGCACACCUGAUAAGAUAAAGUCUUUAGCCUGGCAUUUGAAGUCUUUCUUGCCCUGGCCUCCCUCUCUGUUUCAUCCCUUUUUAUUUUAAUGAAUUACUUGCUGUUGUGUAAACAAACCAUUUUAUCUGUCAUUCCCUGAUGUUACACAUGCUGCAUUAAACAUUUUCUUCCUCCCCA